GCACUACAUUUUUACUGUGUUACCUCUGUGGGAAAAGGAGGAAGAAGAAAGAGGACAUGGUCAAGGAAAGAGAAGCUUCAAUGCAUGAAGGAACGGGAUUCAAGAACAAACCACAUACCAUGUUCUCCUCUCUCUCAACUCAGUUUUUCCAAAAGUGUAGUUAAUCGCAAAAAAAAAAAAAAAAGUGUUUGAGUCUGUCAGAACACCGUGUGACCACCCCGGUCAGGUGAGACUGGCCGAGAACGAUCAUCUACAGCAGAGAAUGAAAUCUCGCAAACGAGCUUCAUCCUAGCCGUUACUCACGCUCUGAUCACACGGUCUUGAUUCAUCCACCAGAUGUUUGUUCCUGUCUCCUUAGAAAUCAAGGACACAGUAGUACGAUCCUAUAGAACAGAUCCUGUUCAAGUAAGGUCGUGACCGUUGUUCUCUGCGUUGAUUAUAUAAACACUUGAUUUUGUUUCAUUCUUAGCGAUGUGGGACUUGUUUCUUAUAUAUAGCUAUACCCAAUUCCAUUAUCUUUCAUCCUGCCACUGAAAACAAACAUAAACAUGGCGAAAACACUUCACACAGACCCUUCCUCUAUUUUCAAUCUUCUCAAAUCAUACGCACUUUCACCCAAUAACAUCCUCAAAGCCAAAGAACUCUUCAAUCAAAUUCAAAACCCCACUUUAUCCCAUUGGAACAUCAUGAUCCGUGGUUGGUCCCAAACUCAACAACCCAUUCAAGCAAUUUACACUUACAACAUCAUGUAUAGCAAAGGGUUAAUUGGUAAUAAUAUCACUUACCUUUUUCUCAUCAAGGCAUGUGGGCGUAUACCACAUGGUUCUUACACCACUAGAAUGGUUCAUUCUCGUGUUUUCAAACUUGGGUUUGACUCAGUUCUGUUUGUUUCUAAUGCUUUGGUACAUUUGUAUGCGGGAUUUGGUGAAUUGGGUUUCGCGCGUAAGGUGUUUGAUGAAAUGUCUGAACGGGAUUUGGUUUCUUGGAAUUCGUUGAUUUGUGGGUAUGGUCGGUGUAAGAGGUUUAGAGAGGUUUUAGAUGUUUUUGAAGAGAUGAGGAUGGAUAAUGUGAAGGGUGAUGCUGUGACAAUGGUUAAGGUUGUUUUGGCUUGUUCUGUUUUGGGUGAGUGGAAUGUUGCUGAUGCCAUGGUUGAGUAUAUUGAGGAAAACGAGGUGGAGGUUGAUGUUUACCUGGGAAAUACACUGAUUGAUAUGUAUGGACGGCGCCGUAUGGUUAAUCUGGCCAUGCGAGUAUUUGAUCGAAUGCAUGAUAGGAAUUUGGUUACUUGGAAUGUUAUGAUCAAGUGUUAUGUGAAAACAGGAGACUUGGUUGCUGCAAGGGGUUUGUUUGAUGUAAUGCCGCAGAGGGAUGUGAUCUCGUGGACUUCUAUGAUCACUGGUUACUCUCAAGCAGGCCAGUUUGCGAAUGCAGUGAGACUUUUUAAAGAAAUGAUGGAAGCUAAGGUGAAGCCGGAUGAAAAAUCCGUUGCCAGCGCGCUUUCUGCGUGUGCUCAUAUUGGUUCCCUUGAUGUUGGGGAGGCCAUUCAUCACUAUAUCAGGAAAUAUGGUGUGAAAGCUGAUGUUUAUGUUGGAAAUGCUUUGAUUGAUAUGUAUUGCAAGUGUGGUGCGGUUGAGAAAGCAUUGGCGGUGUUUGAAGAGAUGGGAAAGAAGGACUCGGUAUCGUGGACAUCAGUGAUCUCAGGCCUAGCUGUUAAUGGUUCAGUAGAUUCCGCACUUAAUUUAUUUUCACUGAUGUUGCGGGAAGGUGUUAGGCCUACUCAUGGAACCUUUGUAGGAGUUUUGCUGGCCUGUGCUCAUGCUGGAGUGGUUGAUAAGGGAUUGGAAUAUUUUGAAAGUAUGGAAAAAGUUUAUGGAUUGAAACCGGAAAUGAAACAUUAUGGUUGUGUUGUUGAUCUUUUGAGUCGCUCGGGUAAUUUAGAAAGGGCAUAUGAGUUCAUAAGGAGAAUGCCUGUGAAUCCGGAUGUUGUAGUAUGGAUGAUAUUGCUGAGUGCUUCUCAGGUUCAUGGAAAUCUACCCUUGGCUGAGAUUGCAACAAAAAAGCUUCUAGAGCUGGAUCCUUCUAAUAGCGGCAACUAUGUACUAUCCUCUAAUACUUAUGCAGUGUCCAAUAGGUGGGAAGAUGUUGUUAAAAUGAGAGGACUGAUGAAGAAUAGUAAUGUAAUGAAACCAUCAGCUAGCAGUUCCAUAGAAGUAAGUGAUUCAAACAGUUCUCAGGAUACCAAAUUGAGUGUUAUGGAGAACAAUCGUUUAUAACUAUAUAAAUUGAUUUCUUUUGUGGGACAUCAUGGUCAAUACAAGGGGAAAAACCAAUAGCCCUGUGAUUUACGCCCGACCCUUGAUGGCCUAGUCGUCUUCGAUUUCUUACAAGUGACUUCUAUCUGUUGCCAAGGGAUACAAGUAUAGUUGCUUAUUGUGGAUUACAGGCCGAGUAUUUAUCAUUCAUGGCUGCUGCUAACUUAUAUACAGCUAUUAUAAUAACUCAUCAAAGCUGCAGCACAAAAUGGAACAAACCGAUCCAAAAAAGAUGAGCCAUAUAGCAGCUAGGGAUAAUGAUGUUAAAGGACAUCAUCAAAUUCAUGGGCAAAGGUUGUUUAAGCUUAUUCACCUGGGUAUUGAAAGGGAAGACACCUUGACUUUUGUUUUUUUGUUUUUUUUAACCAAGAAGACACCUUGACUUAGGAAACCCCUUUUCCAACAACAUAUAUUUUGACAUCCAGAAACAUCUUUCAACUGUCAAUAACUAGACACUGGUGUAUCUGCACUCAAGUUCAAGGGUGUUGCAGGAAAGAGGGGAGAGCACAUCACGGCAUGGACAAGCUACAUUUUCUGUUUUACUCUUUCAGGUAACUUUGCAACAUACCCAUCAUUAUGUUUUCCCUGUCUUCUACGAUGUGGAUCCCACUGAUAUGAGGCACCAGCGAGGGUCUUUCGCCCACUGAUAUGAGGCACCAGCGAGGGUCUUUCGCACAGGAUUUUGCUAUGCACGGUGAAAGGUUUGGAGAUGAUAGUGAAAAGGUUUGGAAUUGACUCGAGGAUAAACAUGUGUUCACUUCUAAAAACAGGGUCUUAGGAAAGACAACUCUAGCCAAACUUGUCUACAAGAAAAUCCAUAACCAAUUCAAUUUUAGUUGCUUUCUUGAGAAUGUUAGAGAGAUUUCUAUUAAAGAGAUGGUCUGCUUUGUUUACUACUAGAAAAUUGCUUUCUCAUCUAAAAUUAAGCAUGAGAAUUGUAAGUUUGGACCAAGGAAAGGAGACAAUACGGAAUCUCUUAUUCAAUAAAAAAGUUCUCCUUGCUUGAUGACCUAAGUUCUGAUAUCCAACUAGAAAAUUUAGCUGGAAAGCGAGAAUAGUUUGAUCUAAGGACAAUGGUAAUAAUAACAACUAGAGCUAGGCAUCUCCUAGUAUCACUAGGCUUGUGUGAAAGUUAUGCUGCUCAGAUCUUAAACAGCAAAUGAUCCGUUUAACUUUUUUGUCGAAGAGCUUUUAGAAGAGGAAAACCUGAAGAAGCUUAUAUAAAGUUGUCAAAACGGGCGAUUCAAUGUGCUAGAGGUAUUCCCUUGGCACUCAAAGUGUUGGGUUCAUUCCUCUGUGGACGAAGGGAAUCUGUAUAGGAAGACACUUUGAAAAUGUUGCAGCAGAAUCUGCAAAAUGAUAUUUACAAGACUUUAAGAAGUUAUGAUGGACUUUAAGAAGAAUUUAUUCACUAAUCAGAUCCUAUAUUUUUGUGGAUCAUUUGAUUUCAGCAAACACAUCCAAAGAAUUUAUUCACUAACCAAAAGAUAGUGCUCUGUUAUUAUUGCUCACUCACAAAACUGAACUGAUGGAACAACUCUGCCUUUGUGCCUAUAAAAACCCAAUUCGUACCGCCGAUUCCGAACCUAAGCGAGUUCGGAUUGCAUCUUCCGAACAUAAGCGUUUUCGGAUCUUAACUUCCGAAGUUGUUUUGCGCUAACCAAAUAAACUCACAAUUCAAAAUUAAAAGCAAACCCAUGGAGAUUCAACUUUAUGAAGAUACUAACUGGUUUCUAGUGGGAUUGAGGCUAGUUGUUUUGAUUUCGUAUUGUAUAAUACAUACCAACCUAGGUCCAAAAUCAGGGGUAUUUUUGGAUUUUUUGGGGGCCUGAAAGUACCAUGGGGGGCCUAAGAGCAAUUUUCACGAGACAAUCUCUACUUUCGAGUACAAACCUAACUCCCCAACUUUCAUAGGUCUUUUUAAGUCAUCCUCCAUUUAAGGUCCACAAAGAAAGGACCUCCACC